rnacentral:lncRNA from 1 species
UCCGAACUAUUUCAUUUAGAUAUUAACAAUAUUUGACUACUAACAAAACCAUGCUCAUUUCAAUUAAAAUCCGAUGAUAAUCCCAACCUGCAUACAAUAAAAACACCGACAACAAAAACCCAAUUAGCCGCAGAACUGAAAAAUCCCCCAACCAUAACACCCGCGGAUUCUCUAAUCAUCUCUAACCGUCCCGAAACAACGUUGCAACUGAAGCUUGUAGCAGUAAAAUGAAACAAAGUUGCUAACAUUAACACCCCCAACUGCUACAUGCAAGCAAAGCCGGCAUUAGCGGAACCCAAACUUGCAGCAGCACCAUCAUCAAUUGCAGCAAUUGCA